rnacentral:rRNA from 1 species
UACAGAGGUCUCAAGCGUUGUUCGGAUUCAUUGGGCGUAAAGGGUGCGUAGGCGGCGCGGUAAGUCAGAUGUGAAAUCCCCGGGCUUAACCUGGGAAUGGCAUUUGAGACUGCGAAGCUAGAGUACGGCAGAGGGAGGUGGAAUUCCACGUGUAGCAGUGAAAUGCGUAGAUAUGUGGAGGAACACCGAUGGCGAAGGCAGCCUCCUGGGCCAGUACUGACGCUCAUGCACGAAAGCGUGGGGAGCAAACAGG